rnacentral:rRNA from 1 species
UACAUGGGGUGCAAACGUUGCUCGGAAUUAUUGGGCGUAAAGCGCGCGUAGGCGGUUACUUAAGUCGGAUGUGAAAGCCCUCGGCUUAACUGAGGAAGUGCACCCGAAACUGAGUAGCUAGAGUACGAAAGAGGGUCGCGGAAUUCCCGGUGUAGAGGUGAAAUUCGCAGAUAUCAGGAGGAACACCGGUGGCGAAGGCGGAUCUCUGGGCCAUUACUGACGCUGAGGAGCGAAAGCGUGGGGAGCGAACAGG